rnacentral:rRNA from 1 species
UCACACCCGUUCCCAUGCCGAACACGGAAGUUAAGCUCUUCAGCGCCGAUGGUAGUCGGGGGUUUCCCCCUGUGAGAGUAGGACGCCGCCAAAC